UACGUAGGGGGCAAGCGUUGUCCGGAUUCAUUGGGCGUAAAGAGCUCGUAGGCGGUUUGUCGCGUUGUUCGUGAAAUCUCACGGCUUAACUGUGAGCGUGCGGGCGAUACGGGCAGACUAGAGUACUGCAGGGGAGACUGGAAUUCCUGGUGUAGCGGUGGAAUGCGCAGAUAUCAGGAGGAACACCGGUGGCGAAGGCGGGUCUCUGGGCAGUAACUGACGCUGAGGAGCGAAAGCGUGGGGAGCGAACAGG
rnacentral:rRNA from 1 species